AUGGACGGUCUGAAUAUCCUAAAGGCAGCGAAUCUCAUUUGAUCUUGGGAGUGAAGCAAGGUCAGCCCUAUUUAGGACUUGGAUGUGAGGCCACCAAGGAAUAUCAGAUGCUGUAGGCU
rnacentral:rRNA from 11 species